CCCUUAGAUGUCCUGGGCCGCACGCGCGUUACACUGAUGCAUUCAACGAGCUUAUAACCUUGACCGAGAGGUCUGGGUAAUCUUUUAAAAACGUGUCGUGCUGGGGAUAGAUUAUUGCAAUUAUUAAUCUUCAACGAGGAAUUCCUAGUAAACGCAAGUCAUCAACUUGCAUUGAUUACGUCCCUGCCCUUUGUACACACCGCCCGUCGCUACUACCGAUUGAAUGAUUUAGUGAGUACCAGGGACCGAGCGCUUUGGUUGGGUUUCCUUCCCUAGCGCUUGGGAACUGUCGCAAACUUGACCAUUUAGAGGAAGUAAAAGUCGUAACA
rnacentral:rRNA from 1 species